rnacentral:lncRNA from 10 species
AUUCUUGCCCUGCUCUCCCGGCCUGGCACCCUCCCACUGAGGACGGGAGAUGGCUCUGGGGAAAUUCCAUUCCAUAAUUCAUUUAAGCAGGAUAAACAGAGCUCCUGCUCUGGAAGAUCCAGCCCUGAGCAAAAGGCACUUGGAAUCGACAUGGGGGGCUCGAAUGUCCCUGUGAAACAUAAACAUAAGGAGGCAGGAGACAUGAGAUGCAGCCGGCUCUGACCCCAAAGAGCCAUGGGACCUGAGUUCCUCCUCCCCUGCUGCAGCUAACAUGGAGGACUUGCAUGGAGAUGGUGGAGUCACAGGAUGAACACAGGCUAAGUCACUACCUGGAGGACAGCUGCCUGGACAGUCACCUGGAUCGCAGUGGACUGCAUGAAUGAAAACAAA